rnacentral:rRNA from 1 species
GUCGUCAGCUCGUGUCGUGAGAUGUUGGGUUAAGUCCCGCAACGAGCGCAACCCUUAUUGUUAGUUGCCAGCAUUUAGUUGGGCACUCUAGCAAGACUGCCGGUGACAAACCGGAGGAAGGCGGGGAUGACGUCAAAUCAUCAUGCCCCUUAUGACCUGGGCUACACACGUGCUACAAUGGCGUAUACAACGAGUUGCCAACCCGCGAGGGUGAGCUAAUCUCUUAAAGUACGUCUCAGUUCGGAUUGUAGGCUGCAACUCGCCUACAUGAAGUCGGAAUCGCUAGUAAUCGCGGAUCAGCACGCCGCGGUGAAUACGUUCCCGGGA